GGAAGCUCACAGUCUAGAAGAGGUAGCCGCAGAGAACAGAAGCAUCAGGGAGCCAGGAGACCUCGUGAGAAGCAGUUACUUAAAUUUGGAAGAAUGCUCAAGAGAGAAGAUUAUCUGAUAAUUUGAAGAUGCCCAUAAAGUAUCUUAGAUUAAAAAAAGGAAUUGCUCAACAAGCACAUGAAGAAUGAUCACUGCCAUGAACUGAAACAUUCUGACUUGAUAAAAAAAUAAAAUAUGUGAAUUCACUAUAGAAAAUUCUCAAUAAUUAAGACUCAGAGAGAUACAACAGUAGAUUCACAAACGUCUGGAAACCUAUCACACAAGACCUCACUCUGGUAGAAACAAGUUGCCAUAUUAUGAGCUGUCCUUGGUGGGUGUUCACAUGAGAAGGCACUGAUGACUCUUACCAACAGCCAGCAAGGAUCUGAAGCCCACAAACAAUCAUGAUUUGAAAGCAGGCUUUUCUUUGGCUGAGUAUCAGACUUUAUUCUACAACUUUCCAAAUUUUUAAAACAUUGUGAACCUGUAUUUUCCUCCAAAAUUAAAUUCUAC
rnacentral:lncRNA from 1 species